GAUGAACGCUAGCUACAGGCUUAACACAUGCAAGUCGAGGGGAAACGAUAGAGAAAGCUUGCUUUUUCUAGGCGUCGACCGGCGCACGGGUGAGUAACGCGUAUCCAACCUGCCCAUCACUUGGGGAUAACCUUGCGAAAGUAAGACUAAUACCCAAUGAUAUCUCUAGAAGACAUCUGAAGGAGAUUAAAGAUUUAUCGGUGAAGGAUGGGGAUGCGUCUGAUUAGCUUGUUGGCGGGGUAACGGCCCACCAAGGCGACGAUCAGUAGGGGUUCUGAGAGGAAGGUCCCCCACAUUGGAACUGAGACACGGUCCAAACUCCUACGGGAGGCAGCAGUGAGGAAUAUUGGUCAAUGGACGAGAGUCUGAACCAGCCAAAUAGCGUGCAGGAUGACGGCCCUAUGGGUUGUAAACUGCUUUUAUAAGGGAAUAAAGUGAGUCUCGUGAGACUUUUUGCAUGUACCUUAUGAAUAAGGACCGGCUAAUUCCGUGCCAGCAGCCGCCGCGG
rnacentral:rRNA from 1 species